rnacentral:rRNA from 1 species
UACGAAGGGGGCUAGCGUUGUUCGGAAUUACUGGGCGUAAAGCGCGCGCAGGCGGCUAUCCAAGCCAGUGGUGAAAGCCCGGAGCUCAACUCCGGAACUGCCAUUGAAACUGUUUAGCUUGAGGAUGAGAGAGGUGAGUGGAAUUCCCAGUGUAGAGGUGAAAUUCGUAGAUAUUGGGAAGAACACCGGUGGCGAAGGCGGCUCACUGGCUCAUUACUGACGCUCAGGCGCGAUAGCGUGGGGAUCAAACAGG